UAACUUCCGGGGUUCCAUG
rnacentral:misc_RNA from 1 species